AACAACCUUGAAUUUCUUCCACAAAAGCCAAGUUAUCUUUAUUGGGAUUAUUACCCUUUGAUGUCUUUGCCUUUAAAUUUUUGCCCAAAGAAUCUUGCAGAACUUCACUUGAAAAGAAGCAACCUCACACAACUUUGGAAUGGAGAUAAGCCACUUUAGAAAUUUGAAAAUAAUGGACCUCAGUGACUCUAAGGACCUGAUCAGAAUUCCAGACUUGUCUAGUACUGCCCCAAAACUUGAGAUUUUAAUAUUAAGAGGAUGUGAAAGUUUGGUUGAUAUUCCUUCUCUUGAAAAUUUGAGCGAGCUUACUGCACUAGAUAUAGAAGGGUGUUAUUACGUCACAAAUUGUCCAGUGCUUCCUUGUAAUAUAACAUUUUUAAGGUUAGAUGAAACUGGAAUAGAACAAUUGCCCUCAUCAAUUGAACAUCUGUCUCAACUUGUCCACUUGUACUUGAGUGCGUGUAGAAGACUAGUGAGUCUUCCAAGCAGCAUUGGCAAAUUGAAAUGUCUUCGAGGGCUUUGUCUCGGUGGAUGUUCAAGACUCGUGAGUAUUCCAAGCAGCAUAGGGGAGUUGAAAUGUCUUGAAAAUUUACAUCUCUAUGGAUGCUCAAAUUUACCAAGUCUUCCAGAAAGCAUCAAGCAACUUUCGAAGUUGAAAUGGCUUAAUUUAAAUUGUUGCGAGAGACUUAAAUAUGUACCAGAGCUUCCAUCAUGCUUAAAAGACUUAAAUGCAUCAAAAUGCACUUCUCUUGAAAAUGCAUCAACUUCUUUCCUUUUCUU
rnacentral:misc_RNA from 1 species